rnacentral:tRNA from 1 species
GCCGGAGUGGCGGAAUUGGUAGACGCACUCGACUCAAAAUCGAGCGGGCGACCGUGCGGGUUCGAGUCCCGCCUUCGGCA